GAUGAAGAACGCAGCGAAAUGCGAUAAGUAAUGUGAAUUGCAGAAUUCAGUGAAUCAUCGAAUCUUUGAACGCACCUUGCACCCUUUGGACUGCUCCAAAGGGUAUGCUCGUUUGAGUGUCAUUGUACUCUCACACUCUCUGAUCCUUUGGAUUUGGGGAGCGGUGGACUUGGGUGCUUGCUGCUUCCUUAUGGCUCACCUGAAAUGCAUCAGUGCAUCUCUCGAUUGGACAUAGCACGGCGUGAUAAGUGUCUUCGCCGGCACCUCAUAUGAGGGUGGCCGAUCGGGAGCUCUGUGCUUUCAAACCGUCUUCGGACAACGCUGACAACUUGACCUCAAAUCGAGUAGGACUACCCGCUGAACUUAAGCAUAUCAAUAAGCGGAGGA
rnacentral:misc_RNA from 1 species